ensembl:lncRNA
GGACAGGGAGUGACGACACACAGAGCAACUCCAGCACGAAAACAAAACCCUGCAUUAAAAAACAACUGUGAACAGCGACGGUGUGCAUUGCUCUUCACGGAACUCUCUGUUCUUCAUAAUUUUAAUAUGACAGCCAGACCUAUACCGUGGGUGAAUGAAGUGGUCGAGACUUUUCUGUCUAUGGUGGCGGACCAAAGAAUACAGAGGGAGCUAGACGGAGAAAGUUUAUCAGGAGGUCUCUGAGUGGAUGGCCGCUCACAUAUACAGUAGACUAUAUAAAGAGGACAAUGAAGCAGCGUAGGGAGAAGCUGAAAAAGCUCAAAAGUGACUAUCGGUCUACCAAGGACCACAACGGCCGGCGUGGGCCAACCAGAAGGUGUUGGAAGAGGUUUAAUGACCGCUAUUUACUGGCACCGCCAGCAGCAGGAGGGAGACACAGCCGCUGCAUUGUUGGAGACGUUCGAGGACGGCAAGAGGAAAAGGGGCCACAGAAUAUUGGACCUUCCAAGCGUACUUGUGGAGAUGCAGGCUGAGGAGGAGCAGAGUCAUGCCCAGCAUGAUGAGAACAUCCAGUUGCUCCUCAGCGAGGCAAGAGAGAAUGAAGCGGCCUUGCAGCGGGAGGAGAUGGCCCAGAAUACUGCCUUCAACCAGUCAUUCCUGGGUGUGCUGGGGCAGCUGGGGUAGCUGGGGCAGGCAGUGGGCAGCCGGCGAGUGUGAGCGAUUCCACCUCCCAUAGACUUGAGAUUUACAAGUGCUGGUCAUAUAAUUAGAAUAUCAUGAAAAAGCUCGUCUUUUGGACAACUGUCAGUCUUCCC